rnacentral:rRNA from 1 species
GACGAACGCUGGCGGCGUGCUUAACACAUGCAAGUCGAGCGAAUGGAUUAAGAGCUUGCUCUUAUGAAGUUAGCGGCGGACGGGUGAGUAACACGUGGGUAACCUGCCCAUAAGACUGGGAUAACUCCGGGAAACCGGGGCUAAUACCGGAUAACAUUUUGAACCGCAUGGUUCGAAAUUGAAAGGCGGCUUCGGCUGUCACUUAUGGAUGGACCCGCGUCGCAUUAGCUAGUUGGUGAGGUAACGGCUCACCAAGGCAACGAUGCGUAGCCGACCUGAGAGGGUGAUCGGCCCAGCUGGGACUGAGACACGGCCCAGACUCCAACGGGAGGCGGCAGUAGGGAAUCUUCCGCAAUGGACGAAAGUCUGACGGAGCAACGCCGCGUGAGUGAUGAAGGCUUUCGGGUCGUAAAACUCUGUUGUAAGGGAAGAACAAGUGCUAGUUGAAUAAGCUGGCACCUUGACGGUACCUAACCAGAAAGCCACGGCUAACUACGUGCCAGCCGCCGCAGUAA